UCUUGCUUCAACUCCGUCGUCCCCUUCCUCCGCUCCGCUUGAAAUGGAGUCAAGGGGGAAACUCCAUGAUACCUAUGGCUUAUAAGCAGGUUUGUAUGAGCUCAUUAUUACGCACGGGCUAAGCAUGACUGCUGUCCUUCCUAUGAAAGUACAACUGUUGCUGGUAAUUUCAUAGUACUAGUCUACCUAACUACUACUCCGGUGUUGGCAGUUAAGUAUUUGUAAGUCAUACAGGAUUGCCAUAACUUCGGCAGAAUAAUUGGAGCAAAUAAGGAAACAGAGAGCAACAAGAUCGUUCUUCCACAGUUGAAGAACUUACUUCUAGACCGUCUACAAGUCACAAGGUUGUUCAGUACUAGACUACUAGCAGCGGUACUAUUGAAGUAUUGAUAUUGAAAUCAAGUGCUCUUCAUUGGAACACUUGCAGUCUAUGACUUCCCCCAGAUUUCAAUUUCUGCAUCUGACUUCAACAGCAUUAACCAAGUCCCACUAAAUCAUGGACAACAUUAUACCAUACUACAGGAAAGGAUUAAUAAAGUAUUACGUCUCUGGCAGUUCUGUGCACUCUAGAGCUGCUCAUAUUUGAAAGCAAUCUCCUACCCGAUUCUUCUUUGACGUCGGAACUUUAACCUUCAUCAGAUGGCACAAAACCCAUCUUUCUCAUUUGACGCAAAUCUCGAGCUGCCAUUUCUAUCUUGGACUACUGAUUUUGGGCUACAUUUUAUACAAUGGGCUGCAAAAGAGGGGAACCACAACAUUCGUGGAUGAUCGACAUCUUGUACCAGGUCAUGUUAUUUCUCCCUCUAACGUAGAGGCAAUGGAAGUGUUGUCUUGUUCUGUCCCAAAAUUAUGCUGCUGCUUCUGCUAGGUGUUUGAGAGAACUAGUAGAUAUUUUUCAGUGCAUGGACGACUGCAAGAGAAUUCUUCCAAUUUUUCAUAAUGUGAGAAAGGAGUUUUGGAGAAGCUUUUGGAUAACCAUGAAAGGACGUCUAUGCGAUCUGAGAAGGUCCAGUGGAGAGAUGCUUUAACAAUAGUGGCCAGUUUGGCUGGGCGCGUGGGAUUAACAUAAUUACAAAUUGACAGAGAACUUCUCGACUCCAUUGUGUGCAGUAAAGUACAACCUAUUGAAAUCAACACGAGAGAUUUUGAAGCAUCGGAACCACCAAUUAUUGAAACUGAGCCUGCAAUAUCGGAAUCAAAUGAAGAAUUUGAAGUACUUAAAGCAAGACGACGAGCUACUUAUGUGACUGAAUAUUUUGAACUAGUAGAAGCAACAACACAAACCACUAAUGCAAACUUCGAGUUACUCGAUUUUUA